AGAAGGACUCCCAUGCAGAGUGGGCAUGCUGCAUCACAAGGGCCACCCAGAACUGGCUCAACUCCUAUCACGGGACACGGCUGGUGAGAAACCACCAGCCCAAGACCCAAGAAGUAUUGGUAAGAGCUGCUGAAGCUUUCAAUUCCGGAAAGGCACCCUGAGAAAAGGCUACCACAUCCAAGGAAGGCAGCAGGCGUGCAAAUUACCCACUCCUGACGCGGGGAGGUAGUGAU